UACGGGGGGGGCAAGCGUUGUUCGGAAUUACUGGGCGUAAAGGGCUUGUAGGCGGCCAACUAAGUCAAACGUGAAAUCCCUCGGCUUAACCGGGGAACUGCGCUUGAUACUGGAUGGCUUGAGAUUGGGAGAGGGAUGCGGAAUUCCAGGUGUAGCGGUGAAAUGCGUAGAUAUCAGGAGGAACACCUGUGGUGUAGACGGCUUACUGGACUAUAACUGACGCUGAGGAACGAAAGCGUGGGUAGCAAACAGG
rnacentral:rRNA from 1 species